CAGAAAACCCUUUUAAAGGAACCGAGGGGAUUCUGAGCCAGAGAGGCCAAAAGUCCAUCCCAAACUCCAGAACCUUGUUCACCUUCCCCACCGGACCCCGAGCCGGGGACACUCGGCAAAUCCAUGGACACCCCAGCGCCCGCCCGCGGCUCCUCCAGCCCCGCCGGCAUCUCGGCCCCUUUCUGCUGAUGUCACGGAGCGGGGCCCCGUAGCCGCCUUCCCCGGGAGGGCCGGCAUCGGCCGCCCCUUCCCGGAUCCUCCUCUCUCGCCUCUCCUCUCCCCUCCCCGGGCCGGCUGCAGCGGAGCCGGGAGCCGCGGCUGCCCGGCAGGUGAGUGCUCCGCAGCCCCGUGUGCCCCACUCGCCCCCAGGGCCUGUCCAUGGAUGCCAGCAAGAAGGUGGAUCUGAAGAUCAUCAUCAUCGGAGCUCUGGGCGUGGGCAAGACCUCCCUGCUGCACCAGUACGUGCACAAGACGUUCUACGAGGAUUACCGCACCACGCUGGGCGCCAGCAUCCUCACCAAGGUCCUGGCCGUGGACAGCACCCCCCUGAAGCUGCAGAUCUGGGACACGGGGGGACAGGAGCGGUUCCGGUCCAUGGUGUCGACCUUCUACAAAGGCUCAGACGGCUGCAUGCUGGCCUUCGACGUGACAGACAGGGAGUCCUUUGAGGCCCUGGACAACUGGAGAGAUGAUUUCCUGGAGAAGGUCAUUCCCAGGGAGCAGGAUUUCCCCAUGGUGGUGCUGGGGAACAAGAUAGACCUCAGUGACCGGCAGGUGCCCAAGGAGACGGCCUCAGCCUGGUGCAAGGAGAAGGACAUCCCCUAUUUCGAGGUCAGUGCCAAGAACAACAUCAACGUGGCCGAGGCUUUCGAGACCCUGGCGAAGCAGGCGCUGAGCACGUACAAAGGGAUUUUUGAGAGUUAUUUAACCGACUCCAUCAAGCUCACUCCCAAUGACAAGCCCAAGCAGAGCUGCUGCUGACCUCGGGGCCGCUGGAUGGAGCCCUGCCCGGUGUCGGUGCCCGCUGCCCACCCCAGCUGCCCAUGGGGACUGGCAGUGCCAGGGCUGGGCACACCAGGGCCAGCUGCCUGCUCAUGCCGGGAUUUGCUGCUUGCCACGGCUCUGGAGCUGCUCUCCACCACCUCAGUGUCACGGUGGUGGCCCUGUGCCCAUCCCCUCGAUGUCCCUGUGGUGAUGGUGCCAGGGAUGCUCCCGAUGCCUCUCAGAGUCCUUGGCACCACGGGUGACCCUCCCCAGGGCACAGCCUGGUGGCCCCCCGGCUCCCAGGGUGGUACAGGCUGCCCUGAGGGGACAGUUGGGCUGGUGGCCUCGGCACAGGGACCUGCCACUGCAGAGACAACUGUUCUGUGCCUCAGUUUCCCCUCCUCUCAUGCAUAUCCCCCAUCAAACACCUUCCCCCUCCUGCCUCACUGGGGAGGAUUCUCAAAAAAGCACUUUGUCAAGGGUACUCUUUUUUGUUUUUUUAAAGGAAAUUAAAUAUUUCAUUUUUAUUUAUAUUUAUGUGUUGUAAAAUGCUCCCCAGGUCCUGCAGCAGGAAGCUGGGGUGAGGGCU